UUCUGCUUUUAAAAUAAUUCAUCUGUGACGUUUAACAAUAUUAAUAGAAAAAAACUAUUCAAACUGCUCUCAAAAGACAACAUAAUAAGUCUACUACAAAAGUGUUGAUUUGUACUAAGCAACCUUAACGUUGACGUUGAGAGUCACAGCAUUAGUUUCGACUAAGCAACUGUUGAACUCGCGCAUACAAGUCACUUACUUUAAUACCUAAUACAAAUCUCCUGUAUUUAUACAGAGUAUUUAUUUAUAUUAGGUAAGCGUCCUGUCCACGCAUACAAUUAUCCUGUACUUAAACAGAGAG